UACGGGGGGGGCAAGCGUUGUUCGGAAUUACUGGGCGUAAAGGGCUCGUAGGCGGCCAACUAAGUCGGAUGUGAAAUCCCCAGGCUUAACCUGGGAACUGCAUUUGUGACUGCAUCGCUGGAGUGCGGCAGAGGGGGAUGGAAUUCCGCGUGUAGCAGUGAAAUGCGUAGAUAUGCGGAGGAACACCGAUGGCGAAGGCAAUCCCCUGGGCCUGCACUGACGCUCAUGCACGAAAGCGUGGGGAGCAAACAGG
rnacentral:rRNA from 1 species